rnacentral:rRNA from 1 species
CGCCUGCCCAGUGACUAUAUGUUUAACGGCCGCGGUAUUCUGACCGUGCGAAGGUAGCGUAAUCACUUGUCUUUUAAAUAAAGACUAGUAUGAAUGGCAUCACGAGAACUAAUCUGUCUCCCUCCCCUAAUCAGUGAAACUGAUCUCCCCGUGCAGAGGCGGGGAUAAUUUCAUAAGACGAGAAGACCCUGUGGAGCUUAAAAUCAAAAAUCAACUGCUUCACCCCUCCCUAUUUAAAGGAAACAUUUACACAGACCUGAUUUAGAUUUUCAGCUGGGGCGUCUAUGAAGUAAAAAAAAUCCUUCAUGAAAAUUCAUGCUAAGAGCUACCGCUAUAGGCAUUAAUAGACUUAAUUUAAAUUGACCCAAUUUUUUUGAUCAACGGACCAAGUUACCCCAGGGAUAACAGCGCUAUCCACUUCCAGAGUCCCUAUCGACAAGUGGGCUUACGACCUCGAUGUUGGAUCAGGACAUCCAAGUGGUGCAGCCGCUACUAAAGGUUCGUUUGUUCAACGAUUAAAGUCCUACGUGAUCUGAUUUCAGACCGG